rnacentral:rRNA from 1 species
AGGACGAACGCUGGCGGCGUGCUUAACACAUGCAAGUCGAGCGGAAAGGCCCUUCGGGGUACUCGAGCGGCGAACGGGUGAGUAACACGUGAGCAACCUGCCCUUAGCUCUGGGAUAGCUCCGGGAAACCGGAAUUAAUACCGGAUAUUACACCGGCUGGCAUCGGCUGGUGUGGAAAGAUUUAUCGGCUAAGGAUGGACUCGCGGCCUAUCAGCUUGUUGGUGGGUAGAAGCCUACCAAGGCGACGACGGGUA